GAAUCUUAAGCAGGCUCCACAUCCGGCUCGGAGCCCAACAUGAGGCUCGAUCUCACGAGUAUGAGAUCAUAAUCCGAGGUGAAACAGAGUUGCACGCUUAAUUGACUGAGCCACCCAGACAACCCUUAGAUCGCUCUUGAGUAGGGAAUUUUACCAUCGGAUCUUUGCUGUUAGUGAAUGAACUUUAAUUUUGUAACCUCUUAGAGUUGUAAGCCAACUGUUUGAGAACGUGUGUCAAAAGUAGAGAAUCUAUACUUUUCGUGAGAUUUUACGAGGUUAUGAGACCUAAGAGGGCCCAUAAAAUGUCUCUGGAGAAUACAGUAUGUUGAUAUGACUUUUAAUAAGUUUUGACUGCUGCAGUACAAAACCUUUUUUGAACCCCAACUUUACAUUUCAAAAGAGACUAAAAAAUAAUUCCAUUUGAGGCCUUGAUAGACCUAAUGAUUCCCUGACUCUAGUUUUUGUGGUGUCACAUCAACCGAGGGAAGUUAAUAAAGAGAAGUGUUCUUCAAACCAAGCAUCAUAAGCGACCAAGACAGGGGCUUUGGCUACCUGUGAAGGAAACAAAGAUACGAAAAUCACUCAUCAAUAUACUGACAGUAUCCCUAGGCCAGAAUUGCGGGCACUAAUUGAUGGGUUCAGCUCCCCAUUGUUGAUAAUUAAGGCCAUCUGCUUCGAACUGGGAUCUGCAGGGAGACUAAAUCUCCAUCACAAGCCAGUAGAAGAUCCAGUGGAAGAAAGGACAAUAUGUUGGAUAUCCUGUCUUGCCCUCCAGAUUCAUUCUCCACCUGACUCCACCCUGUUCUCCAUCCAG